rnacentral:rRNA from 1 species
ACAUUUUUUUAAGUAAAAAAUUUAAGGUAGGUUUUGCCCUAUGAUUUUAAAUAAUUUAAAUGGCUGCAGUAUUUUGACUGUGCAAAGGUAGCAUAAUAAUUAGCUUCUUAAUUAGGGGCUUGUAUGAAUGAAUUAAUGAGAAAUUUAUUUUAUUAUAUUUAUUAUUAUAAUUUAAUUUUUAGGUUAAAAAGCUUAACUGUAAAUUUGGGACGAUAAGACCCUAUAGAACUUGAAUUUGUUUAAUUAUGUGUGUAUUAGAUUUAUUUAUAAAUUUAAAUUGAAUUAAAUUUUUACUGGGGUGGUAGAUAAAUUUUUAACUUUAUUUUUUUUUUUCACUUAUUUGUGAUUUUUUGAUCCAUUAUUAAUAUGAUGAAAGAUUAAGUUACCUUAGGGAUAACAGCGUAAUUUUAAUGGAAAGUUCAUAUUUAUAUUAAAGUUUGCGACCUCGAUGUUGAAUUAAGAUUAAGUUAAGGGGUAGGUUCUUUAAAUUUGGGUCUGUUCGACCUUUAAAAUCUUACAUGAUCUG